AGUUGAAUUAAAUAUUCACCUAAGACUCAGGUGGCGCAAGCCUCAAUUAUACCUGCCGAGGAAGUUAAAUUUUUCUCUAUGUCUGUAGGUGGACAUAGGGAUUUUUUUUAAAUCCU
rfam:Lactobacillus suebicus DSM 5007 = KCTC 3549 strain DSM 5007 Scaffold23, whole genome shotgun sequence.